GACGGGGGGGGCAAGCGUUGUUCGGAAUUACUGGGCGUAAAGGGCUUGUAGGUGGCCAACUAAGUCAGACGUGAAAUCCCUCGGCUUAACCGGGGAACUGCGUCUGAUACUGGAUGGCUUGAGUGUGGGAGAGGGAUGCGGAAUUCCAGGUGUAGCGGUGAAAUGCGUAGAUAUCUGGAGGAACGCCGGUGGCGAAGGCGGCAUCCUGGACCAUUACUGACACUGAAAAGCGAAAGCCAGGGGAGCAAACGGG
rnacentral:rRNA from 1 species